UUAAUUGAAGCCAAAAAGAGGCUUAUCACUGUUAAUGGUAGAACUGAGGUUUAUCUCCAAUUAAG
rnacentral:tRNA from 1 species